CGGCCAGGGAGCCGCAGUGAAGGUGGGGAUGCCUUGGGGGCCGAGGCCAGCCGCAGCUCCUGGCCCCACCCUCCCUCCGCGCUGGAAGGAGAGGACCAAAAGCCAGCAGGAGCCAGCUGCUCUUCCCCCUGCCUUGAGGACGGAGAGGGAUACCCGGCCUGCAGGGUUAGCUGCCUUAGAUCUCUUAACCUGGACUCCCAAGAAGAUACCAACCAAAAAAAGAAGGCUGUACUGUCAAGGUAGACUGGAUUUACAGGAAGGGUGUGCAGUCCCAAUAGACAGAUUUAUAAUGGUGUCUAUCUGGGUAUUUUAGACCCUUUUAAAAAAGCCAACCAACAACAAGUACUUCUUCAAAUCAAAAGACUAAACAGAACUUCUUUUCUGUGUUACUAAAUUGAUUGCUCCUUACUAGCAGCCAGAGACCUACAAAAUGGAUAACUCUGGCACAGCCACAUGAAGCUUAUCAAACCUGGACUCUAGAACACAUCUAGAAGGAAGAGGUUCCUAGGCCUUCCAACUAUGAUGCCCUGCCAUCCAUUCAAGAGUAUUUCACUCCAAGGACAGACAGCAGGAAUUAUCCAGCAUCUCUCUGCUACCGGGACAGGCCACAGGAGAAGGCCUGAUCUCUUGGAUAACAGAUCCAGACCUUUGAGGACUUUUUAGACCAUAACCAACACCUUGAACUGCACCCAGAAAUAAACCAGUAAUCACAGCAGCUUUGGUAACACCAGUAUUGCAUGCGCAUUACAACUUACCUCCCUGAAGAAAUGUUCCAGAUGAUUUUCAGGAGUAACCCCAAGUAGAGUGCAUUGCAGGUAACAGUGGUGUGGGUUGUGGUGGCAGGGUCCACAGUAAGAAGGAACAGUGGCAGCUGAUUGGGUCAAUCUAGAUUUGGGGUGGGGGAGACAUGCUGCCUCUGGCAUCUGGGAAAACAGUAAGAGUGAUAGAUCCAAUAUAAACCUAAAAGUGGAAAUUAUUUUUGCAAAGGUCAGGACUGCAUCUUUAAUAAAAGACAUGCUCACAGCCACCACCCACUGCGUUGGAGGCAUCUCUUUGCUCAGCAGCAUAACUUCCUUAGUGUCUGCUUGUUCUCCACUACUACUUAGAUUGUAAACUCUCUGAAGCAGGGACCAUCUCUUUGCUGUAUGUACAGUGCCUAACACAAUACUGCUGGGGCCUCUAACCUCUACCAUAGCACAAAUCGACAGUGAUACAUAAAUGGUUCAGUUCAUUUUAUAAAGUGGCUGAGUUAUUAAAAUAAUAAUAAUAUCAUUCCUCCCUACCAGUUGUACUAAGCUACCUCUCCAAGUAAACACAAUUGUAAUUCCAUUUUAGUUCUGUUAGGAGUCUGUGUGUCUGGAACUGACAUGCUGAUUUAUUUUUUUCCCCCAUUUACACUGGCUAAGUCUGACAGAUUUUUUUGCUCAGGCUGCUAUGUAGUAACUUAAAAAACCCUAGUCUAUAAUUGUGUUCUAUUGUGUAUGUUAACAGGAAUUUGUG